rnacentral:rRNA from 1 species
GACGAACGCUGGCGGCGUGCUUAACACAUGCAAGUCGAACGGAAAGGCCCUGCUUUUGUGGGGUUCUCGAGUGGCGAACGGGUGAGUAACACGUGAGUAACCUGCCCUUGACUUUGGGAUAACUUCAGGAAACUGGGGCUAAUACCGGAUAGGAGCUCCUGCUGCAUGGGGGGGGUUGGAAAGUUUCGGCGGUUGUGGAUGGACUCGCGGCUUAUCAGCUUGUUGGUGGGGUAGUGGCUUACCAAGGCUUUGACGGGUAGCCGGCCUGGGAGGGUUACCGGCCACAUUGGGACUGCGGUACGGACCAGACUCCUACGGGAGGCAGCAGUGGGGAAUCUUGCACAAUGGGCGGAAGCCUGAUGCAGAAACGCUGCGUGCGGGAUGACGGCCUUCGGGUUGUAAACCGCUUUCGAAUGUGCCGAAGAGUGAGUGACGGUAAUGGGUAAAGAAGCACCGGCUAACUACGUG